rnacentral:pre_miRNA from 1 species
GAGACACCCUUCAGGGUCAAGACUUGCUUCAGUGGGGCUUUGGUGCUCACUGAGUGUGCCCCCUGAGUGUGUCCCU